rnacentral:rRNA from 1 species
GUCAAAGCGUUCAUUAAAGUCGAGUUGGCUUAGGGAUACGUUCGUUGGGUAGGGGAGCGUUCUGUAAGCCUGUGAAGGUGUGUCGUGAGGCAUGCUGGAGGUAUCAGAAGUGCGAAUGCUGACAUAAGUAACGAUAAAGCGGGUGAAAAGCCCGCUCGCCGGAAGACCAAGGGUUCCUGUCCAACGUUAAUCGGGGCAGGGUGAGUCGACCCCUAAGGCGAGGCCGAAAGGCGUAGUCGAUGGGAAACGGGUUAAUAUUCCCGUACUUGGUGUUACUGCGAAGGGGGGACGGAGAAGGCUAUGUUGGCCGGGCGACGGUUGUCCCGGUUUAAGCGUGUAGGUGUGUGUUCCAGGUAAAUCCGGUUCACUUUAACACUGAGGCGUGACGACGAGGCACUACGGUGCUGAAGCAAC